GGGGGUGUAGCUCAGCUGGGAGAGCACCUGCUUUGCAAGCAGGGGGUCGUCGGUUCGAACCCGAUCACCUCCA
rfam:Granulibacter bethesdensis CGDNIH1 chromosome, complete genome.